rnacentral:rRNA from 1 species
GAUUCCCCUAGUAACUGCGAGUGAAGCGGGAAAAGCUCAAAUUUGAAAUCUGGCGGUCUUUGGCCGUCCGAGUUGUAGUCUGGAGAAGUGCUUUCCGCGCUGGACCGUGUAUAAGUCUCUUGGAACAGAGCGUCAUAGAGGGUGAGAAUCCCGUCUUUGACACGGACUACCAGUGCUUUGUGAUGCGCUCUCAAAGAGUCGAGUUGUUUGGGAAUGCAGCUCAAAAUGGGUGGUGAAUUCCAUCUAAAGCUAAAUAUUGGCGAGAGACCGAUAGCGAACAAGUACCGUGAGGGAAAGAUGAAAAGCACUUUGGAAAGAGAGUUAAACAGUACGUGAAAUUGCUGAAAGGGAAACGCUUGAAGUCAGUCGCGUCGUCCGGAACUCAGCCUUGCUUUCGCUUGGUGCACUUUCCGGAUGACGGGUCAGCAUCGAUUUUGACCGUCGGAAAAGGGCUGGAGUAAUGUGGCACCUCCGGGUGUGUUAUAGACUCCGGUCGCAUACGGCGGUUGGGAUUGAGGAACGCAGCGCGCCGCAAGGCAGGGGUUCGCCCACUUUCGCGCUUAGGAUGCUGGCAUAAUGGCUUUAAACGACCCGUCUUGAAACACGGACCAAGGAGUCUAACAUACCUGCGAGUGUUUGGGUGGAAAACCCGAGCGCGUAAUGAAAGUGAAAGUUGAGAUCCCUGUCGUGGGGAGCACCGACGCCCGGACCUGACGUUCUCUGACGGAUCCGCGGUAGAGCAUGUAUGUUGGGACCCGAAAGAUGGUGAACUAUGCCUGAUAGGGUGAAGCCAGAGGAAACUCUGGUGGAGGCUCGUA